rnacentral:rRNA from 1 species
UACGUAGGGGGCAAGCGUUGUCCGGAAUCAUUGGGCGUAAAGCGCGUGUAGGCGGCCUUGUAAGUCCGUUCUGAAAGCCCGGGGCUCAACCCCGGGAGGCGGAUGGAUACUGCAAGGCUCGAGUACGGAAGAGGCGAGUGGAAUUCCCGGUGUAGCGGUGAAAUGCGCAGAUAUCGGGAGGAACACCGGUGGCGAAGGCGGGUCUCUGGGCCG